UAUUUCACAACCAGCAGAUUCUCAAGGAAGGACGGACCCCAGCCAUGGGGAUGGGGGAUGGGGGCUUGGGUCAAUCCUCUGCUGGGAACAGAACCCAGGAGUCCUGGCACUCCCCUCCCCUCCCCUCGCUCUAACCACUAGUCCUCUCUUCCCUCCCAGCGCGGGGAGAGAACCCAGGAGUCCUAGCGCUCUGCAGCCCCACUACACUCGGUUGCUCAAUCCCCCGGAGCUUGGCUCCCCCUUGGAGGGACGAACCCGAGCCCCAUUCCCUGCCCCCCAAGGCCGGCCACACCCUUGGGUGGGGAGCAGGGCCCCUGGGGCUGUGGGUAGAUUUCACAGCUCAGCAGCGGAAAUUUUGCCUUGCCAGGCACUCCCUUGGGGGCACCAAAGCUACCCCUCCCAUUUCCCCUCCACCUGGGGAGAGAACCCAGGCGUCCGGGCUCCCAGCCCCACUGCUCUAACCCAGCAGACCCCCUCCCACUUCCCCUCCACCUGGGGAGAGAACCCAGGCGUCCGGGCUCCCAGCCCCACUGCUCUAACCCAGCAGACCCCCUCUCAUUUCCCCUCCACCUGGGGAGAGAACCCAGGCGUCCAUGCUCCCAGCCCCCACUCCCCUCCCAGAGCCAGAGAGAGAACCCAGGCGUCCUGGCUCCCAGCCCGCGCCCCCCCCCCCCCGCUGACCAUGCAGCCCUCGAGGGCGGAUACAGCUGCCUUGUGAGUUUCUCAUUUUAACACUUGGGGGUUUCCGGGGCUGGGGAGCUGGUAGCAGAAGUUCCCCCACCCCGCAGGACGCGCAGCCCGUGGGGGAAGACGGACGGACGGACGCUGCUGGGGGUGCCGCUCGCCGAGCCUGGGGCCGGCUGCUGGGUUGGCAUGGGCAGAGUCCCGGAUUCACCUGCUGAAAUGGAAUGUUCCUGUACAAAAGGGAACUGUGGAAACUGCUGCAUCCCGUUCGAGGGAGUCGUUGCCGCGGCAGCCGGGGGGUUUGUCAUGCUGGUUCUGAUUCUGGUGCUGUCCGUCUGCCUGUGCCGGGUCCGGAGACGAGGUGAGCGG